UUCAAAGUGGAUAAAUGAUUAUGACAAUAUCUGCUUAUGUCUUGACCAAGUCACGUGCCAGCAGUCGCGGUAAUACGUGGAAGAUUAGUGUUAUUCAUCUUUAAUAGGUUUAAAGGGUACCUAGACGGUUAAUUAAGCAUUUAUAUGUACUAAUUAACUAGAGUUUAAUAUAAGAAGGAUUGAGUACGGUGAGUGUAGAGAUAAAAUUCUGUCAUACCACUUAGGAACUGGUAAUGGCGAAGGCAACCUUCAAUGUAAAAACUGACGUUAAGGGACGAAGGCUCGUUUCAAAUAACAGGAUUAGAUACCCUAGUAUUGUGGGCAGACAAUGAUGAGUGUCAUAUACAAGAAUAUAAAAAAUAUUUUGUGUAUAAAUGAAAGUGUAAGCACUCCACCUCAAGAGUAACGUGGCAACAUGGGAACUGAAAUCAUUAGACCGUUUCUGAAACUCGUAGUGAAGUAUGUUGUUUAAUUUGAUAGUCCUCAAAUAACCUUACCACAAUUUGUAUUACCAUAAUUUUAUUAUACUAAUAUGUUUAGUAGUUAUGGCAACAAGCGUUGCACGGCUGUCUUCAGUCAAUGUUGUGAAACUGUGGUUAGAUCCAUUAAAUUGACGUAAACCCUUACUUUAUUUAAAAUAAAGUAGUUCGCCGCUAUAUUGGUAGUGAUAUAAGGGACUAGGACAAGUCAUCA
rnacentral:rRNA from 1 species